rnacentral:tRNA from 1 species
UAGGUGUAAAAAAGACUUCUAAUCUUUACUUAGCGAUUUGCUACACCUAG